rnacentral:rRNA from 1 species
CGGCGCACGGGUGCGUAACGCGUAUGCAAUCUACCUUUCACAGAGGGAUAGCCCAGAGAAAUUUGGAUUAAUACCUCAUAGUAUAUAGAGUUGGCAUCAACAUUAUAUUAAAGUCACAACGGUGAAAGAUGAGCAUGCGUCCCAUUAGCUAGUUGGUAAGGUAACGGCUUACCAAGGCGACGAUCCUUAGCUGGUCUGAGAGGAUGAUCAGCCACACUGGGACUGAGACACGGCCCAGACUCCUACGGGAGGCAGCAGUGGGGAAUAUUGGACAAUGGGCGAAAGCCUGAUCCAGCAAUGCCGCGUGAGUGAUGAAGGCCUUAGGGUUGUAAAGCUCUUUUACCCGGGAUGAUAAUGACAGUACCGGGAGAAUAAGCUCCGGCUAACUCCGUGCCAGCAGCCGCGGUAAUACGGAGGGAGCUAGCGUUGUUCGGAAUUACUGGGCGUAAAGAGUACGUAGGCGGUGAUUCAAGUCAGAGGUGAAAGCCUGGAGCUCAACUCCAGAACUGCCUUUGAAAC